ACGUGGUUCUUAUCCACUUGGAAAACGUGCCUGAUGUGACGCGGUUCUUAUCCAACUUUUCGUCUCGAUUUGUUGUCGAAAGUGUAUUUGAUACGUGGUUUAUUCUUUCGUGUAGGUAACGAUUUAACGGGUCGUUACAAAUGAGAUGCCCUAUUUAUAAUAACUAGGACCCUAGGGUUGGUUCGACCUAAACCUAUACAUCGGGAAAGAACCAACAAAGAAAACCCGACGGAGCUUAUAAAACGCUCGACACAAUAUUCGAUCAAAUAAAACAUAAAAUAAAAUAAGGAAAGAAAAAACGCUAGUCUAAUUUGGAAUAAAACAGUAGCUGGUUCAGGCCUUUCGUCGAGCAGCUGGCUUCCUACUUCGGCACGAAGUCAUGGUAGCGUUCUGGCUGCUUGAGUCCCUUCCUCGGCCUUAGCUCUCUCUUCUUCACCUUCUCCGUAGCCUCCUCCGUCUGUUUUCCCAGUUCCGCCGUCGUGUCAUCCGAUACAGUCGUCGGGCUAGGUUCUCCCGUCUUGCUAAUCGGCGAGUCCUCCGGGGUAGACUCCGCCGUCCCUUCCAUUGGAGAAUCACUAACAGGUGGGUCAGGAGGAUUCAUAACAUAUACCUUCAUCUCUUGGAAACAUUACACAACUCGAGUCGUUGGACCUGUCUUCAAACCGAUUGGAAGGGGAAAUUCCAACAGAGCUAACAAAGCUCAAAUUUCAUUCGGCGAUAAACCUGUCCAUGAAUAAUCUUUCAGGGAAGAUACCUCAAUCCAGUGGCCAGUUUCCCACAUUUGAAAAUACAUCAUAUGUUGGGAAUUCUGGACUAUGUGGAUUUCCUUUAUCACGGAAAUGCGAAGAGCCUUUGCCCUCAGCGAUGUUGGAAGAAGGUGAUCAAGAUUAUGGUAUUCUAGAGGGAUUCUGUUGGCAGGCGGUUGUUUCUGGUUAUGGAUGUGGAUUUGUAAUUGGUGGUAUUGUGGGUUGUCUGAUUUUUGGGUAUGGAAGGCCUAAAUGGUUGGUGGAAUGGAUCUACAAAUUUUACAGGAUAACGAUAAAGAUGAGAAGCCGUAGAGAAAAUGUGACACCACAAAGAAGAAGAAGAACAUAACAAGAUUUUACAAGAUAAAGAUGAGAAGCCGUAAAGGAAAUGUGGCACCACAAAGAAGAAGAAGAUAACAAGAAAAAUCAACGGGACUUCUAAUGGCGGACGGAGGGAGUAAUAUCUAUGGUCCAAGUCGGCUAGCGUGGAGCUAGACAAUUCUAGAUAAUUUCCUUCAUCAAUUAGUUAUCUCUUCAUCGCUAUAUGUAGCAUGAUCAAGUAUUUAUAACUGUUAAUCUUAUUGUAUAAUUGCAAAAUUCAGGUGCUGUGUCAAAGGAAUUUGGAAACACAACUUCUCUGGCAACGUUGGAUCAUCCAUACAAAAUUAAUUCAAUUA